ensembl:snRNA U6 U6 spliceosomal RNA
AUGCUUGCUAUGGCAGCACAAAUACUAAUAUUCAAGCCUACAGAGAAAAUUAGCAUAGCCCCUGUGCAAGGAUGCCAUGAAGAUUCAUGAAGCAUUCCAUAUUUUU